AAUGGAGGCAACUCUGAUCCAGCGAUGCCGCGUGAAGGAAGACGGCCUAUGGGUUGUAAACUUCUUUUAUACAGGAAGAACCUUUCCACGUGUGGAAAGCUGACGGUACUGUAAGAAUAAGGAUCGGCUAACUCCGUGCCAGCAGCCGCGGUAAUACGGAGGAUCCAAGCGUUAUCCGGAAUUAUUGGGUUUAAAGGGUCCGCAGGCUGUUUGUUAAGUCAGGGGUGAAAUCCUACCGCUCAACGGUAGAACUGCCUUUGAUACUGGCAAACUUGAGUUAUUGUGAAGUAGUUAGAAUGUGUAGUGUAGCGGUGAAAUGCAUAGAUAUUACACAGAAUACCGAUUGCGAAAGCAGAUUACUAACAAUAUACUGACGCUGAGGGACGAAAGCGUGGGUAGCGAACAGGAUU
rnacentral:rRNA from 1 species